rnacentral:rRNA from 1 species
GACGAACGCUGGCGGCGUGCCUAACACAUGCAAGUCAACUUGACUGAAGGAGCAAUCUGACAGUAGAGUGGCGCAAGGGUGCGUAACGCGUAAGUAACUUGCCCCAAGGUAAGGAAUAACGUCGAGAAAUCGGCGCUAAUACCUCAUAAUGCAGCGGAUCCGCAUGGAUAUGUUGUUAAAGGUUUACCGCCUUGGGAUAGGCUUGCGUCUGAUUAGCUAGUUGGUGUGGUAACGGCACACCAAGGCUACGAUCAGUAACUGGUCUGAGAGGAUGAUCAGUCACACUGGAACUGAGACACGGUCCAGACUCCUACGGGAGGCAGCAGUGAGGAAUAUUGGGCAAUGCUCGAAAGAGUGACCCAGCAACGCCGCGUGGAGGAUGAAGGUAUUCUAUAUCGUAAACUCCUGUGAGAGCAGACGAAAGACAGAUUAUUAAUACUGGAUGACUGUAUGCUCAGAGGAAGCCCGG